ACCUUCUCUUUGGUUUCUUUGGCUUAGAUUCAGUGUAGUGUCUCUUUUUGUCGGCUCAGUUGCUCGUAGUCCUGUCACCACAGGACGCUCCGAUUAUUCUAAUAUUUGGACCUGGCAAGUGCCCUCUGUGCUUGCAGAUGCCUGUUGCACUAUGUCGCGGGCCCACACUACCCGCGGUUCAUGCGAAUGCUU
rnacentral:snRNA from 1 species